AGAGUUUGAUCCUGGCUCAGAACGUACGCUGGCGGCACGCCUAACACAUGCAAGUCGAACGAAGUAGCAAUACUUAGUGGCAGACGGGUGAGUAACAUGUGGGUAUCUACCCUUUGGCCUGGAAUAACACGAGGAAACUUGUGCUAAUACCGGAUAAGUCUUUACGGAGAAAGCUUUAUGCACCAAUGGAUGAGCCCGCACUAGAUUAGUUUGUUGGUGGGGUAAUGGCCUACCAAGACUAUGAUCCAUAGCUGAUUUGAGAGGAUGAUCAGCCACAUUGGGACUGAGACACGGCCCAAACUCCUACGGGAGGCAGCAGUGGGGAAUCUUGCACAAUGGAGGAAACUCUGAUGCAGCGAUGCCGCGUGAGUGAAGAAGGCCCUUGGGUUGUAAAGCUCUUUCGUCGGGGAAGAAAAUGACUGUACCCGAAUAAGAAGGUCCGGCUAACUUCGUGCCAGCAGCCGCGGUAAUACGAAGGGACCUAGCGUAGUUCGGAUUUACUGGGCUUAAAGAGUUCGUAGGUGGUUGAAAAAGUUGGUGGUGAAAUCCCAGAGCUUAACUCUGGAACUGCCAUCAAAACUUUUCAGCUAGAGUAUGAUAGAGGAAAGCAGAAUUUCUAGUGUAGAGGUGAAAUUCGUAGAUAUUAGAAAGAAUACCAAUUGCGAAGGCAGCUUUCUGGAUCAUUACUGACACUGAGGAACGAAAGCAUGGGUAGCGAAGAGGAUUAGAUACCCUCGUAGUCCAUGCCGUAAACGAUGUGUGUUAGACGUUGGAAAUUUAUUUU
rnacentral:rRNA from 1 species